AGCCAGAUUUGACCAAAAGGGCAAAUAUUAGCAUAGUACACUUUCAUUUGAUGUUUUUACCCAGUUCAUUCUUUUCUUCCUCUUCUCCUCCUUCUUCUAUGAUAGUGAGACGAUUCAAUCACAAGCAAGAACGAAACGAU
rnacentral:ribozyme from 14 species